GGUUCAAAUAUGAAAUUUUAUUUAAAGAAACACUCUAGCACUAUAACAAUUUUGUCUAAUUGAAUUGGUUGUAGCGUCUGCAAUCCACGGCACCUAUUCCAUGGUUAAUGUUAAAUCACGAAUAGUUUAACACCUAAUGAGGGGUCUACUGCACACCCCUUGCUUGGAGUAGUUACACUCCACCUUAGCUAUACCAGUGUAUAGCAGCAAUAGAUGUCUGUGAUACUCUGAGAGCCAGCAGGUGGCGUUCCUAUCACU